GCCAUUCUCCCUUUCUUCGAUCAAAACCAAUUUUUGUUUUAGUUGAUCCCUCUCUUUCUGGGUAUCAUGUAGCAAUACUUUCAAGUGAUCCCUCUGCUCUUCGUCUUCUUUGAACAAAGUCAUGAGAAAAUCUCUAUUUUCUUUGCAUUCUCGGAGUCUUUGUAGUAGAUUAAAUUUUGCCAAGCCAUGAAAAUUUGAUGUCUUGGAUCCUUGACUCAACGUUGAUGGACUGCUUGGAGGUGAUACCCCAUCAAGACAUUUAAAAAAGAGCAUGCGCUAUUAUCCUAAAAAAAUAAUAAUUACAUAACGAUUUACUAAAUUUAUUAAAAAGACAUACACAACUCACCUUUGCAAUUGCACAGUUAUAAAUUUACGACCUCAAUUUAAGUCUAUGCGUGACGUCCUCAAGACAGCUGUAUUUCCACAAUGACAAAUUAGAGUCGUUUUAGAAUUGGAUGAAUGAAAUACUUGAGGCAUUGUAUAAUUUUAAAAUAAAAAUAAUUAGAUGAAAUAAAAUAAUGAGGGAUGGAGGACUUUAUAUAUGAAGUAAAAAGAAGUGCUAACACUGAAGGAGUACAAAGUUAGCCGUUUAUUAUCAUUGGAACAGUAAUUAUAUUUUUUGAACUGUUGAUGACACUUAAUAGACUGUCAUAGAUCAUGACCUAUGUCAGUCAUCAACGAGAUACUAAAUUCUACCAUAGACACUCAUAAUCGAUGGACCCUCAAUAACAUAGUUAAAAAAAUAAUUCAGUAAAAAAUAUACUUGUGCUUUGAGGGUCCAUCAAUUCAAUUGAUCUACCUUAGGCUUACACUUUAUGUAGAGCAUCGAUUGAUCUAUGUAUUAUUCAUAGAUCGCGUAGAUCUAUGUACACUGGUAUAGACCAUUACUUGAAUGUUGUUUAACAAUGAAUAAAUAAAUUAAAAAUAAAUGUAGUGUGAGUUUCUACGCAUAUGAAGGAGUGUAAAUAAGUCACAUAAUCAUAUUGGAGCUUAUACAAAUUAGGGAUGGUGAAUUAAGAAGUGUGUGAAUGGCCAGUGGUUGAACAAACAAUAUCCUAAGAGUAAUGUUUGUCAAAGCACAAGUAUGUUUUGAGGAUGAUGAUUGUUCAACCACUAUCCAUUCCACAUACUCUUUUGAUUUGGGGUGGUGAUUAAAGGAGUAUGUGAAAUGGGUAGUCAUCAAAUGCAGUCAACAUCCUCAAAACAUACUUGUGCUUUGACAAACAUUAUUCUUAGGAUAUUAUUUGUUCAACCACUACCCAUCCACACACUUCUUAAUUCACCAUCCCUAAUUUGUAUAAGCUCUAAUAUGAUUAUGUGACUUGUUUAAACUUCUUCAUAUGUGUAGAAAAUCACAAUUUAUUUAAUUUUAAUUUAUUUAUUCAAUUUUUAAUAACAUCCAAGUGAGGGUCUAUUACCUUGUACAUAGAUCUCUGUGGUCUAUGAAUAAUCAGGAGAUCAAUCGAUGCACUUCUUAGGUGUAAGUCUACGGUAAACCAAACGAAUUGAUGACCUUCAAAGCACAAGUAUAUUUUUUACAUGGGUCAACAUCGAUGAAAGUCUAUUAAGUGUCACCAACAAUUCAAGAUUGUUUGUUGAACCACCCCAAAUCAUGUGAUUAUGUGUUUAAAACUUUUUUAUAUUAAUUAUUUUUUUCACCACUCACAAAUCAUAUGAUUAUGUGUUUAAAUUUAUUUUAAUUUAAUUAUUUUUUUCAACACCCACAAAUCAUGUGAUUAUGUGUUUAAACUUUUUAAAUUUAAUCAUUUUCUUUCGCCACCCCUAAAUCAUGUGAUUACGUGUUUAAAAUUUUUAAUUUAAUCAAUUUUUUUCAAACUACAUGCUACUGAUGGUGCAUCGAUUCAUAUAGUCUACAAUCGACCUAUAUGUCCGGUCGAGGAGUGAAUAUGUCUAAGAUCGAUGAUAGACUAUAUAUAUGAUCUGUAUUUAUUAUGAAAUUUUUUUUACUCUACAUGAAUUUAAUCAAGUCAAUCUACAGAUGCAUUCAUUGAACAAGCAAUAAAGUAAACACAAAAAACAACAAUAACCAAAAAGAGGGAAAUAAAAUUUGAAAACUGAAAUAUUUAUAUCAAUAUUUGUUCAUUGCACAAUUAUUCAUUAUCAUCACUGGCCAGAACAAGAAAAAAAGGCAAAAAAGAAGUUUUCUUCUAACAACAAUCUUACCCAAAAAACUUCUUCUGCAAUGAAUACAUAAAAAAAUUUAUAAACAUAAAAUAAAAUAAAAACUUAAAAAACUAAUUUUAGUGUGAUGCUGGGGGGAUGUAGUUGGGGCCUUAUAUUCCUGGCCUUUUCAGAAUUGCCCUCAAUAAACGAGCAAUUCAGCGGAUUUCACGCUUUAAGUAGAUGUGGUCUUGACCCAGGCCAUGAAAAAAAUGAUCAAAAUCAUUCCUUAACAGUAGGAGAUCGUAGUGCCGUGGAAGAACUCGUUUGAUGGGGAGUAGCGGUAUCCUUAUAUGAGGCAUGAUUUCAAUUUGAUGAAGAAGAGGGUUUCUAAACUUUUGGGUUUAGGUAGAACUGAAUGCUUACAUAGAAAUAGUCACUGUACUUAUAGACUCAUAGAAGUCAUUGUUUCAUAUUCACAACGAAUGAUCAAUCAACAUUUGUGGGAAUAAAAAAGGAUUACCUUGCGUAUACCAAUAGUUUUUAUGUGAAUAGACGUGUUUGCAACUUUUAAUUAAUUGGGAACAGGAAACAAUAAUUCAAUGUAUUGAUUAGAGAGAUAUAAGGGCAAAAAGACCCAUAUAGAGUGUUUAAUGAGUAAUCAUAUAACCAAUACAAAAUAUUUAAUAGACUGUGUACAAUAUAUAUCAUAGAAUGAUGGUGUCUAUCGUAGAUAAAUCUUUAAGUCGAUUACAACUGAACGUUAAAUUCGACAUAAAUGCACAUUUAUCCCCCAAAAUAGUAGCUUUAGAAAUGAAGAAAAAAAGCCCAUCUAAGAUUUAUUGGUCAUGCUACAUGUGGUUCAUUUGUACCCGAAUUUCUUGCAUAUUGAAUACCAAUUCCUCCUUUUGGACUUGAAUGUCUCAUCGACGCCCUUAACAUGUUUGACUUUUUUCCUUCCAAGUUUGGAUUGUAGAGGGUGGAAAAAUCUUAGUGUCUUGCAAUUCCUGUGGCACAGCCCAUUCAAACUCUGGAGGGACAACGUUAAUAGCUUCGGAGUAUGCGAGGAGGUAACUUUCAAAUUUAUAAAUUAGUGAAGAGUACUCGUAGAUAGAGUUACCAUAACCUUCUCCAUCACCAUACUUUGCUCGUAAAGUGGACAUCGCAUGUUUGCACGAUAUUUUCACAAAGUCAUAUUUCCUACAAGAACAACUCCUCUUCAAGAGAUUGACCUUGGCAGUAAUGCCAUUGCCGAACACGGUGAAUUAGUCGAGACCCCCAUUUGCAUUAGUCACUUACAAGGAAUUGCUAUCACUUUUAUUAUUCCUUAGGAUCUUUUUCGCACAAGACACAAAUUUGUUGUUUGUACUAUCGACAAAGGCAUGUCAUUCCCUAAUCUUUUGACCAAAUUUUAUAGUAAUUGAAUUGAAUAUGUAUGACACAGAAUACUCUCGUUCAUCUAUCAAUACCGAGUUUAGCGACUCGGCAAUAUUUGUGGUCAUCACAUCAUACCUAUUAUCCGGGAAGUGUGCUCUACUCCAUUUCUCAAAAUCAAGCACAUUUUCAAGGACGUGCUGCCUCGAGGUAAUUAUUCUUCAAUUCUGCAAAAUACUCGCUAAAAUCAUCAAGAGAAUAAGCCUUUGCCAUGGCAUAAAAUAAAUAAAGAUGUUCUCCACAGUGUUGAUUUACACGAAGAUUUUCAGCGAGGUGUCUCAUGCAAAGUCUAUGGUGUGCAGGACUGUUAACACGGGAGAAGGCAUUGGCAAUGCUAAUGUGCCUAUCGGAGAUGACAUAUAGAUCUGGUUUAUCUUCUACUAUAGACUUCAACUUCUCGAAGAAGAAGAUUCAAGAAGAAUCAUUCUCUUUAUCCAUGACACAAAAGGUAAUUGGAAAGAGAUGAUUUUCGGUGUCCUAUGCAACAACACUCAGCAACACGCCCCGUACUUGUCAUACAAAUGUGUGCCAUCGAUGGUAAUUACCUUUCUCAAGUGGGCAUCUCCCCAUAUGCAAGCUUCGAAUGCUAAAAAGUAGUAAACGAAUGAUCCGUCCAUCCUAUUUACCAUGAUAGAGUAAGAAGACCUGAGAUUCAAUAACUCCACUAUGUGGAAAAAUGUUGACAAGCAAGCAUAUCCGUGCUCCGGUGUCCCACGAAUAAUGUUCUUCGCAAUUAUACUUUCUUUCCAACAUAUCCAAUAGCUUGUGUUUCAAUGCAUCUUCCUAAACACAAUCCUCUAGAUUUCUCUUAUGCUUGGACCCUUACCAUCCCGAAAAUGAUUUAUGCAUAGUAAAACAAUCAAUUCAGAUGAGAUUCUCUUAUGCCUACUCGUGGCAUAUUCAACAUUACACGUGUUGAACCCAACAUAUUUGUAUAUGUAAAAUUUGUUCGAGGAUUUGUACUUCUUUGCUCACAAUAACCAGCCUUAACUAUGAGAUACAUAUUUUGCCUUCAACAAUUUGGUGCAACUCUUCUCCGUAAAUAAUUAAACUAUUGCCUCAAUGUUACUAUGUCUAGUAGCAUUUUGACCUCUUUCUUGUCAGCGAAUGUUUGAUCACAAUAGAAUUGGUUCCAUCGACGAAGGAAUGUCUUGGUUGUGAUCCCGUUCCAUAAUCUUCUUUCACAUCUUGUGAGUUCGAUGAAACGUCUUUCAUAUGGAUAGAAUUAUCUUCUAUAUUAAUUAGAUGAUCGUCUUCGUUCUCAUAAUUAUUCAAAUCAUCGUCGACUGGCCGACGUCGAGGUGGAGGUGGUGAUGAAUUCAGUGAUUCUUCAAAGGGCUUCUCAACUAUAUUUAUCCUUAAAAUAGGUCUAAAGCCAUAUACAUCAACAUCCAUCAUGUACAACGACACACUUAUAUUAUUAUUUAUGAUUGUAGGUUGCACUUUUUCCCUCGAAUGCAUUAGUAACUAAUCACUACAUCACUCGACGCGCAAUCUAGAUCCCCGCUCUCCAUUACGCUUGUAACCAAGUCUUCAUAUGAACCGUUACAACGAACAACAAUGGUAGUGUCACCUUGGUAAAAGGUCUUCAUUUCCAACAUUUGGGAGUCUCCUGUCAUUCUCCCAUGAAAUCAUCAGAAACCAAAACAAAUUCUGUAAUAGAUAUCCUAGAAUUAAGCUUUGGUCGAUAGUCGAUUAUACUGAUGGUCUAUGUCGGGAUAUAUGCACGGUUGAUGAUUGGGAAGAUAUCUAUAUAAAAACCUUGAAAUUGUAAAUAUUUCUUCUAAUCAACGAUCGUUGGGUUUAUGGAAUAGAGAAAUGAACUUGGAUUCGCCUGAGUAAUGUACUUUCUAAAGAGGUUUUGAGUAAUGUGAGUGAUUUAAAACUUUUUAACAAUGGUGGAAAGUGUGUUUGGGAAGAUAGCAAACAAAUGGGGUAACAAUGGAUGCAAUAGACAAGCUUAUUAUGUUUGUGGACUGAUUUAGAUCUGAUCGUCGAAAAAGUGGCCUGAAUCGGAGCUUUUUGGAGGGAAAGAACCUUCUAUUUUAAGCUUUUGGAAUUUUUUAAAAUUAUUUUUGAAAACCUAUAUAUUUUUGUAUUAUAUAAUUGUGGAUGAUGGGGUGAGUUGAAGUGUAUUAUUAGAAACUUGUGAUGUAUUUGUUAAGUUGGAAAGAUUGAAUGAUGGAGUGGGUUGAAGUAUAUUAUUAGAAACUUGUGGAUGAAUUUAUUGAGUUGAAAAGGUUGGAUGAUGAGGUGACUUUAAGUGGGUAUAUGACAAAUUUUUCAAGACUUUUGUCUAAAUAACAAAAUAAGUCUUGAAAACAUCUUUUUUGGCAUGAAAGCCCAAGUGAUUAGGGUAGCACAGUGACAUUAUUAUUAUUAUUAUUAUUAUAGGAAUUUUACUUUUAUAUUUAUGAAGACCAAAACUUCUGAUAUAUUUACUAUAAUAGUUGAAAUGCGUCCUUAAUUUAUACCCGAGGGUUACUUAGAUGUGUGUUAUAGCAAUGAAAGACAAUGUUAAUCUUGGGUCUAUUAGCAACUCUUGGAGAGGGUCGUGAUUAGUUUUAAAAACGAAAUUGUCGGGUGUAAAAAACUUCCGUUAUGCAUAGGUUCAAAAAGAUAAUUGUACCAUAAGAAUCUAUUGUACGUAGCUUGAUUAGUGUAUAUAUAUUAAUCCAGAAUAUUUGUUACUGCAUUGGAUCUAUUUAUCUUGCUAUAUUAUUAUUGUUAUUUUCUUUUCUAUCAUGAAUUAUCUACCCAUCUUGUGUGCUGGGUCAUCAUAAACAACUUCUCCGCCCCUCCACACACAAAGUUAGGAAAUAGGUAUGCAUCCGUCCUCAGAUGCCACGUGUGUGAGUAUAUUGUAUAUUAUCCAUAAAUACUCAAGAAAGAAAAAUAAUUGCUUAACAAUUUAUAUAGCAUAAUACAGUCCAAUAGAAUCGUACUACACCCUUAAUCUUUUUUCAAAAUCAAAAUUCAAAUAAAAGCGAUUAGUAUGAAGCAUUUCUAAUUACCUCUAGCAGUUGAACAGACAAUUAAGCACAUGAAUGUAGAGUCCUUUAACAAAAUUCUUCGGUUCAUAUCCUGUAGAUUGAAGUGAGAAGGAAGAAUUCAUAGUCAAUUGUUGAUUAUGCGUAAUUCAUAUAUAUAAUCUUCAAAUAUAUUUACUAAAAGAAAUAAAGAAAAAUCAGAAAAAUGAUAAUAAUGCGAG
rnacentral:lncRNA from 1 species